UUUUAAGACAAUGAUGUGGACGGAGAGACGUUGGGACGAGGCCUUACGGAAGCAAUGAUGUCUUACCUAUUUGAAAGAUCGUUUAAAAAGCAACUGCAAUUACGAGACUUUGUGGAGCAGAACAAAGAAAUAACAAUUGAGUUGGAAGUGCUGACAUCGGAUGAUCAAUUUAUUGAGACUCCAGCAUCAAAUGAAAGAAGUGUGGGGCCAGCACGUAAAACACUUCCAGCCAUUAUUUCUAUUCCACGUUUCCCAUAUGACGUGCAGCACAAAUUGGAUGCAAAAGAACCAUGCCACAAGAUUCCAAAAUACCGGAACAUAAUCGUACGAACUUUGUAUGAGAUGAUGGCACAGUACACAAUGUUUCCAAGUAACCAGGAGUAUAUUCAGGUUGCCAAAGCAUUCAUCUUGAAAUACCCCUCUCUGAAGGACAUCGAUGGCAAUGGUUAUCAUACUUGGCAUAUGUCAUUGAAAAGAAAAUUCAAGACUGAACGUGCUCCUCUAGUUCAUGAUGUAGAAGUUCGAAAGUACAAAGAGAGGUAUGCCGAGUCCAGAAAGUCCAAGACCGUGGAUGAAUCAGCCGUUGUAGUCCAUAA